GUGGCGUGACUUAACUCGGUGUCUUGUUCAGUGAGGAUGCUGUGAGGAAACUGGAACCUGCUUAGGGUACAGUUGCUGCAGUCAUGCUCAGUCAUUCAAGGGUUUCAUACAUCUUGUAGCUGGUAACUUUGGCAGGAAUCGUUGACAGACUUUUACACAAUUAAAUCAGCUUGAUGAAAGCAGAAUGGAUAGAUUUUGGCACAUGUCACGACGCUUACGCUUUCAACAGGGAGCGGCCACCACCGUUUACUGUAGCAUUGCCCCGGAGCUGGAAGGAUUGGGAGGGAUGUAUUUCAACAACUGCUGUCGGUGCUUGACGUCACAGCAAGCUCAGGAUGAAGAAUCAGCCUGUGCGUUGUGGGAACUGAGUGAGAAGGUGAUCCAAGAGCGAGCUGGCAGUCAACCUGCCUAAACAUGCAGCUCCCCGGGUUUGUGAAGACGGAAGCAAGGAACCUUGCACCAGAAAACUGCCGUCUUUAAAUAUUCUCUCUCUCCCUCCCUGCCUAGUUCUUUGCCAAUGUUACCAGUGUGCGAGAUUGAGCACUUCUCAAAUAAAGCUUAACCCUUUACGACC